GGGGAGCAACGGCAGGGCAGGUUCUCCAGGCCGGCAGGAGAUGCAGGGAGAGGUCCACUCGGGAUAGACAGCAGCUGCUCUGACCUGAGCAGCACAAGCCAGAAAAAGGGGUGUCCCCAGGGUGUGAGGAGUUGGGGACACCAGAGGUGAUGGCCAGCCUACAGGAGGGGUCACAGUCCGGACACCUUAAGGACAGAAAGCACCUGUGAGACACCAGGCAUUGGGGUCACCUCUACCAAGAGCAGAGAGAAAGCAGCCAGAAAUGCCAGCUCUUUGUGGAGGUCCCACCAGGAGCCCAGGCAGUGCACCCCCAGGAGGAGGGACACCAGAGUGUGCAGGUCCCACCAGGAGCCCAGGCAGCCCACCCCCAGGAGGAGGGACACCAGAGUGUGGAGGUCCCACCAGGAGCCCAGGCAGCCCACCCCCAGGAGGAGGGACACCAGAGUGUGGAGGUCCCACCAGGAGCCCAGGCAGUGCACCCCCAGGAGUAAGGACACCAGAGUGUGGAGGUCCCACCAGGAGCCCAGGCAGCCCACCCCCAGGAGUAAGGACACCAGAGUGUGGAGGUCCCACCAGGAGCCCAGGCAGCCCCACCCCCAGGUGUAAGGACACCAGAGUGUGGAGGUCCCACCAGGCAGCCCACUCCCAGGAGGAGGGACACCAGAGUGUGGAGGUCCACCAGGAGCCCAGGCAGCCCACCCCCAGGAUCAGGGACACCAGAGUGUGGAGGUCCCACCAGGAGCCCAGGCACCCCCACCCCCAGGAGGAAGGACACCAGAGUUUGUUCGCCUGUCCAUGGUGUCCCAGCAGGACAGUGCUCUGAGAGGAGGGUGGGCGCAGUGUCUGGAGCAGUCAGUGGAGUCAAGACAAGGAGGGGCGGCUGUCUGGCGACCCUCCUUACCAGCCACAGUGAGCAGGAGAGGACACUGAUGGGCGGGAGGCCACCAGUGUUCCAGGUACAAGAGGCCCAGGUGAGGACAGAGCAGCCUGGACCUGGCUGGACCUCUACCCAAGAAGCUCAAGCAUUAUUUCCAGCAGAAGUGUCAGAGGUCAGAGUCCACAGGCUACUGCAUAGGGACCUGCCUGCCUGAGGGCAGGUGUCUGAAGGACAGGUGGUCUAGCCAGUGGCUGUCUAGCAGGGCUCCCAGGGGAUGGUCAGGCAGGUUGGGCCACUUCCCUACAGCUGCAAGUCCACCCACCCAAGGCCAGCUUCCCCAACCCAGCCUCCCAGGGAGAUGGCGCUUUCCCCUGGGCAGGCUUGGGACCACCAC
rnacentral:lncRNA from 1 species